GACGACAAACUAAGUUGGAAAGGGUGAUAAUAUUGGUACUUUUAUCAUAGAAAUAGGUGGUAAUAUUGGUACUAGCAAUAUGAGAUGCUCUUCACUUAUUAUUGUUUCUCCAGCAUAUUACCUCUAACCAUGGUGCCGUUGGAGAUUGGACUAGCAAAAACCCAAAAAGUGGAGAUUGAGAUGAAAGCAUGGCAUUGUGUGAAGAAAAGGGACCCCACGUUGAUGUUGAAAACUUCAUAUCUUUCUUUCUCUCUUACAAUGGAAAGACUGACUUUCUUAUAGUAAUAAUCAUGCACUCUUGAAAGCUUGAAGAGAAGCCAUAAGGGUAAGUAUAGUUGAAACUAAAGGCUCUAGUAAGGAUUUUUUUGGCUUUGUAAUGAAGAGUGAUAGUAGAAAGAGUGUUCUGAAAUGGAAGUUAUUAUUUUAGAAUAAAUGAAACGCGGUGGAUUUUGUGAAAGCAAGCUUCUUGGAGGAGCAAAUAUUGGACAGGUUUUGCAGCAAUCAUUACAAGCGCGAACACAACUCUUGUAACCUUGGUACCAGGUUGACAUAAGAAGAGCUUGAGUAAAGAGAAGGCCAUUAUUACACCUCUGAUUGUUGGCUCUUCAUAGGAUAAUGGUUUGAGCUUCAAGCUUCAUCUUCUCUUAUGUCUUAUGUUUGAUUAAUGAGCCACCCCACAGUGUUUCUCUUUUUUUUCUCUCUUUUUCCUUUCUAGAAGACUAUCUAUAUUAUCUUUCUCGUUUUGGGCACUUUUCACUCCUUGUUCUCUCCUUUCUUUCUCUUAUUUUGGU
rnacentral:lncRNA from 1 species